UUUUGCAUUACAGGGCAAGUUUUCCACUGGCAGGUGGCCACUCACAGCGAAUCUUUCCCUAGAAAGAUGUUUUCCGGGAAAAUCGGAUGCGUCAUCUGAGUGUGCUCUCUGCCAAAGGAGAUUUGCCCAGCGAUUCUUCU
rnacentral:pre_miRNA from 1 species